CUCAUGCCUUACUCAUUGACGUUACCCUACAGAAGAAGCACCGGCUACUCCGAUGCCUGCAGCCGCCGGUAAUACGGAGGGGUGCAAGCGUUAUCAGAAUUUCAGGGCGUAAAGCGCAUGCAGUGGUUUGUUAAGUCAGAUUCUAAAAGCCCUGGACUCAACCUAGGAAUCGCAUUGAAACUGACAAGCUAGAGUACUGUAGAAGGGGGUAGGAUUCAGGUGUAGCGGUGAAAUGCGUAGAGAUCUGAGGGAAUACCGGUGGCGAAGGCGGCCCCCUGGACAGAUACUGACACUCAGAUGCGAAAGCGUGGGGAGCAAACAGGAUUAGAUACCCUGGUAGUCCACGCCGUAAACGAUGUCUACUUGGAGGUUGUGCCCUAGAGGCGUGGCUUUCGGAGCUAACGCGUUAAGUAGACCGCCUGGGGAGUACGGUCGCAAGAUUAAAACUCAAAUGAAUUGACGGGGGCCCGCACAAGCGGUGGAGCAUGUGGUUUAAUUCGAUGCAACGCGAAGAACCUUACCUACUCUUGACAUCCAGAGAAUCUAGCGGAGACGCUGGAGUGCCUUCGGGAGCUCUGAGACAGGUGCUGCAUGGCUGUCGUCAGCUCGUGUUGUGAAAUGUUGGGUUAAGUCCCGCAACGAGCGCAACCCUUAUCCUUGUUUGCCAGCACGUAAUGGUGGGAACUCCAGGGAGACUGCCGGUGAUAAACCUGAGGAAGGUGGGGACGACGUCAAGUCAUCAUGGCCCUUACGAGUAGGGCUACACACGUGCUACAAUGGCGUAUACAGAGGGCAGCGAUACCGCGAGGUGGAGCGAAUCUCACAAAGUACGUCGUAGUCCGGAUUGGAGUCUGCAACUCGACUCCAUGAAGUCGGAAUCGCUAGUAAUCGCAAAUCAGAAUGUUGCGGUGAAUACGUUCCCGGGCCUUGUACACACCGCCCGUCACACCAUGGGAGUGGGCUGCAAAAGAAGCAGUGUAGUUUAACUUCGCGAGGACGC
rnacentral:rRNA from 1 species